UGUGCUUUCAGUUUUGUUCAUGUGUUAUAAAAGGCUAAGAAAAAGUCGUAAUGUCGUAAAGGACAAAAAGCUUUAUUACAGGUGCUGUACAAAGCCGAACUGUCUUAAUAUUCUCAACAAAAAAUGUUUUAUUUAUCUUUUAUUUAUUGUUGGUCUUUUAACUUCUUCUUACCUUAAUGUUUCUGUCAUUUAAAAAAGGCUGUGGCUUUCUGCAAAGAGCACUUCCUCCAACAGAGAUAAGAAAGAAAGAAAACGUACACAGAACAGCAGAGACAGAAUCCGGCUCUGCUCUGAACACGAGGCUGAGCAGAUAUUUUCCAUAACACCAGGACUUUUCUUGUUGAACUUAAUGCUAUGGAGAACUUUUGCAAUAACACAGUGUUGAACUUUGUCUGUUCUCCAUUUGCUGCUUCUGUGGUUUUCUGGCUUCUCUGUGCCGUGCUGUUCCUCUCAAUAAUUCUGAAUUUCAUUUGCUGCAUGAUGAAAUUCAGUUCAGGAAAAGAGACAUGUGCAAAAGUUAGAAAAAGUUUUCAUCAGUUUGGGUCAAGAUCAGGUCGGUCUUCAUGCCAAAUGGAGGAUAAUCCCAUUUAUGGAAACCUAAACUACAUGCAGACAAGUGUAGCUGUGUACACAGAAAGCGAGCUUUGCUGCUCCUCAAUCAGCCCUGCAUCUUUGGGAAAUCUGCAGAGAGUGACAUCCGACCCUCAGUCCAGAAAUCAAGACUGCUAUGCCAACCUGACCCUCAAAGCUCCCCGGCAGAAGGCGGACUGCAUCUCUCCUCAGCUGCAGGAGGUGCAUUUAGAGGAGCCGACAGAGUCAGAAAGAGAAGACAACGAGGAGAACACAGACGCCGUCUCCACCGUGUCUGAUCUGUACGCUGCUGUGCAAGCACAGCGGGCCAAGACCAUCGACUGUGCAGACGGCAGAGAGGAGUACGCAAACCAUCUCUGA
rnacentral:lncRNA from 1 species